AUUGAACGCUGGCGGCAGGCCUAACACAUGCAAGUCGAGCGGAUGACGGGAGCUUGCUCCUUGAUUCAGCGGCGGACGGGUGAGUAAUGCCUAGGAAUCUGCCUGGUAGUGGGGGACAACGUUUCGAAAGGAACGCUAAUACCGCAUACGUCCUACGGGAGAAGGCAGGGGACCUUCGGGCCUUGCGCUAUCAGAUGAGCCUAGGUCGGAUUAGCUAGUUGGUGGGGUAAUGGCUCACCAAGGCGACGAUCCGUAACUGGUCUGAGAGGAUGAUCAGUCACACUGGAACUGAGACACGGUCCAGACUCCUACGGGAGGCAGCAGUGGGGAAUAUUGGACAAUGGGCGAAAGCCUGAUCCAGCCAUGCCGCGUGUGUGAAGAAGGUCUUCGGAUUGUAAAGCACUUUAAGUUGGGAGGAAGGGCAGUAAGCUAAUACCUUGCUGUUUUGACGUUACCGACAGAAUAAGCACCGGCUAACUCUGUGCCAGCAGCCGCGGUAAUACAGAGGGUGCAAGCGUUAAUCGGAAUUACUGGGCGUAAAGCGCGCGUAGGUGGUUUGUUAAGUUGGAUGUGAAAGCCCCGGGCUCAACCUGGGAACUGCAUCCAAAACUGGCAAGCUAGAGUACGGUAGAGGGUGGUGGAAUUUCCUGUGUAGCGGUGAAAUGCGUAGAUAUAGGAAGGAACACCAGUGGCGAAGGCGACCACCUGGACUGAUACUGACACUGAGGUGCGAAAGCGUGGGGAGCGAA
rnacentral:rRNA from 1 species